rnacentral:rRNA from 1 species
GACGAACGCUGGCGGCGUGCUUAACACAUGCAAGUCGAACGGAAAGGCCCUGCUUUUGUGGGGUGCUCGAGUGGCGAACGGGUGAGUAACACGUGAGUAACCUGCCCUUGACUUUGGGAUAACUUCGGGAAACUGGGGCUAAUACCGGAUAGGAGCUCCCGCUGCAUGGUGGGGGUUGGAAAGUUUCGGCGGUUGGGGAUGGACUCGCGGCUUAUCAGCUUGUUGGUGGGGUAGUGGCUUACCAAGGCUUUGACGGGUAGCCGGCCUGAGAGGGUGACCGGCCACAUUGGGACUGAGAUACGGCCCAGACUCCUACGGGAGGCAGCAGUGGGGAAUAUUGCACAAUGGGCGGAAGCCUGAUGCAGCAACGCCGCGUGCGGGAUGACGGCCUUCGGGUUGUAAACCGCUUUCGCCUGUGACGAAGCGUGAGUGACGGUAAUGGGUAAAGAAGCACCGGCUAACUACGUG